rnacentral:rRNA from 1 species
UACGAAGGGGGCUAGCGUUGUUCGGAAUCACUGGGCGUAAAGCGCACGUAGGCGGAUCUUUAAGUCAGGGGUGAAAUCCCGAGGCUCAACCUCGGAACUGCCUUUGAUACUGGGGAUCUCGAGUCCGGGAGAGGUGAGUGGAACUGCGAGUGUAGAGGUGAAAUUCGUAGAUAUUCGCAAGAACACCAGUGGCGAAGGCGGCUCACUGGCCCGGAACUGACGCUGAGGUGCGAAGGCGUGGGGAGCGAACGGGG